UAAUUUUAAUUUUUUGAAUUAAUCCAGAAUCAGCUGCGUAACCGGGACCAGUCUUCAAGGCAGGGUUAACCUCCAGGUUCGAUAAUUAUAGCUUUAAUUUAUAUGAAAUUACCAAAAACUUCAAAGAAACAUACUGAAACCCUACCCAGCAAUCUUUUGUCCCUAUAAAAUGAUAUGAUUAGCGAAGCAAGCAGCCGGCCGUGACCUCCAGAGUUCUCAAACCCUCUUCCAUCUACCCCUACAACGAUCACUUCCGGUUUGGUGCUUCAAGCUUGUUGCGGUGAAAUUGCACAACUCUCCUAAUAGAAUAAAUACUGAACAUCCUGCAUUUGUCUACCCUUUUUCUUCUUGAAUCAACUUGUAAUUAGAAGAUCCCAAUCAUCUUCUCCGAAAGAGAGAGAAUAGCGUGAAUGCCUUGUGUGAUUCUGUAUAGGCUAGAGUUAAUGCUGCAGCAGCAGCAGCAGCAGUUAUGUUUAAUCCUUUGGGAUGAACUGGAUGGGUUGUUUAAUGGAACUAAUUCUCAAUUUCCUUGA